rnacentral:misc_RNA from 1 species
UGGGGUCUUGUGUUGUACAACAAUUUUUUGCCAUUGAUGAUGGCUCCGAUGUUUUGAUUCUCACAGGAAAUUAUAAUGAGGUGUUCGCUUCUUUGGGAUCAAAAGCUGGGAAUUGGUUCCUAUUUGAUGCAUUUUUUGCAGUUUCUUUGUCCUGUGUGUUUGGUUUAGCUAUUAGUUUCUUUGGCUUUGAGGCGAGAAGGGCGAUAUCUGCAACAGCAUUCACUGUGACUGGUGCAGUGCAUAAGUUUCUUACAGUUGUUAUCAAUGUUCUCAUUUGGGAUAAGCAUGCCAGUCCAUUUGGUUUGCUCUGCCUACUCUUCACGCUUGCUGGAGGUGUUCUCUAUCAGCAGUCAGUUACUAGACCUGGAGCUGAGUCUGUUCCAAAGCAGACAAAAAGUGAAAAUGAUGGCGCUGAAGAGAGUCAACUUGUCAAAAUAACUGAUGGUGAUGAGGAGAAAUAAGGUAGAGCAUAUCUAGUAAACAAGCUUUUGCAUUAAAACUAUUAUUUCAUUUGUUUUCUUAAUCUAUUUAGCUUGGAUGAUGAAUUAAAGGGGCUUAUUGUGAUGUAUGGUCGUUUUAUGAGUUAUGGUUUACUGACUGGAUAAAUCAUCAAAUCUUUGUAAGAUGUGACCAAUAUCGGAUGUGGAUAUAACUUGGAAUAUAUUACUGGUCCUUGCCUUUUUUGAGCUGCAUCUACAUCCAUGUUAUCUGUCUUUGCCAUUUUUAUGCUUUAAGCCUUUAACAGAAGUUGUUACUCUAUUGAACACCUGAUGGUUAUUUUCAUCAGAACUACUUUGGCGGCCUGGAUUAGAGGUUGCCCUUUUA